rnacentral:rRNA from 1 species
AUUGAACGCUGGCGGAAUGCUUUACACAUGCAAGUCGAACGGCAGCACGGGGCAACCUGGUGGCGAGUGGCGAACGGGUGAGUAAUACAUCGGAACGUGCCCAAUCGUGGGGGAUAACGUAGCGAAAGUUACGCUAAUACCGCAUACGAUCUACGGAUGAAAGCGGGGGAUCGCAAGACCUCGCGCGAAUGGAGCGGCCGAUGUCAGAUUAGGUAGUUGGUGGGGUAAAGGCUCACCAAGCCGACGAUCUGUAGCUGGUCUGAGAGGACGACCAGCCACACUGGGACUGAGACACGGCCCAGACUCCUACGGGAGGCAGCAGUGGGGAAUUUUGGACAAUGGGCGCAAGCCUGAUCCAGCCAUUCCGCGUGCAGGAUGAAGGCCUUCGGUUGUAAACUAGCUUUGUAGACGAACGGUUACUCUCUAAUUACAGGGG